CUAAGGUGAAGCUUUGAGAUAAAGACGACUCCACCCAGAUCCUAUGCUUCCUUGCCUGGUCUUUCUCUCCGUCUUCCCACGCACACAAAAAUACAACACACAACGCAGAGACUUUAUAGGGAGACCGAGGACUAGACGGACCAUGAAUAGGGGAAGCCAGCUUCAAGGGGUUACAUAUGUAAGAAGUGUCUCGAUUGGUCUGUGAACGGAUAUAAGGAAGCUACUUCCGGGUAUGAGGAACAUCUGUUUGAUGCAAUGAGAAGGGAUAAAGAGAGCGACUGAUGGUUACAAGGACUAAAAAGUGUCACAAGGACUUUCAGCGUUUGGGCUAUGACAGCCAGAAGAUCACAAUUUCCUCCUAAAAGAAGCAUGCAGGCCAACGAGUUUUCACGGUGAAUUGAAGGGAAAGAAAGCCUUCAAUAAAUCAGUUCAAGAAAGCCAUUGUGUCAGUGCUAUGUGGAGGGAGCUACACUGCAAGCAGCAAUGGACGGGACUGAGUAUAUACGGAAGUUGCUGAGGAGAGGUUUCACGACAGGGUCGCAUUUUACUGCGUGGCACGUUCUCCCAAGAUGCAGACGGAACUCCGGAGGCAAGGUGCAGGUGAAACUUUACUAUGGAUCAGAGCGGUCAAGCGAACAUGGAUCCCAACCGAAUGUCAAGCAGCAGGUUUCGGUGAGAAAAUUGUGGUAAAAAGUCGCUUCUUGAGCUUGUGCCGCCCAUAAAGCUGCCGUCGACUUCCCUGAGACACUGGUGUCAACACACCCGUGGACACACACCUCCGACUAUCAGUAGAACGUGACCUUUCAGUCACGUCCGUAUCCUCUCUCCCCUCCCGCUCCUGGCCGCUUACUGUUAAAGACAGCAGAUGAUGAGAUUACAACGUGCCACCUGUGAAAUCCAAUCACCUGCCAGCCGUGUCUCGCCGUCAGCACUGCCCCGCCCCCGUCUGAUGGUUCUUUGUCCUCAGCACCAUGGACAGAGGCGGUGACCUUUGCUCCUGCAGGCAGCGCUGGCCACGUCUCCCUCCACACUGACAUAAACAUUUCCAUCGAGCCGCGUGGGAAACAAUAAACAUAAUGAACUUGA